CUACGACGUUGAUAGGUUGGGUGUGUAAGCGCUGUGAGGCGUUGAGCUAACCAAUACUAAUUGCCCGUGAGGCUUGACCAUAUAACACCCAAGCAAUU
rnacentral:rRNA from 2 species